GUCGAGGUAGCUCAGCCGGUAGAGCGCCUGAUUGAAGAUCAGGAGGCCCUCAGUUCGAAUCUGAGCCUCGACA
rnacentral:tRNA from 1 species